rnacentral:rRNA from 1 species
GAUAAACGCUGGCGGCGUGCCUAACACAUGCAAGUCGAACGAUGAAACUUAGAUGAUUUCUUCGGAAUGAACUUAAGUGGAUUAGUGGCGAACGGGUGAGUAACACGUGAGUAACCUGCCUUACACAAGGGGAUAGCCUCUGGAAACGGAGAAUAAUACCCUAUAAAGUCUAAUCAGCUCCUGCUGGAAAGACCAAAGAUUUAUCGGUGUAAGAUGGACUUGCGUCUGAUUAGCUAGUUGGUGAGAUAAAAGCUCACCAAGGCGACGAUCAGUAGUCGGCUUGAGAGAGUGUACGGCCACAUUGGGACUGAGACACGGCCCAAACUCCUACGGGAGGCAGCAGUGGGGAAUUUUGCACAAUGGGGGAAACCCUGAUGCAGCGACGCCGCGUGAUUUAGAAGGCCUUCGGGUUGUAAAAAUCUUUUUUACGGGAUGAAAAUGACAGUACCGGAAGAAUAAGGUCCGGCUAAAUACGUG